ACGCUGGCGGCAGGCCUAACACAUGCAAGUCGAGCGGUAGCACAGGAGAGCUUGCUCUCUGGGUGACGAGCGGCGGACGGGUGAGUAAUGUCUGGGAAACUGCCUGAUGGAGGGGGAUGACUACUGGAAACGGUAGCUAAUACCGCAUGACCUCGCAAGAGCAAAGUGGGGGACCUUCGGGCCUCACGCCAUCGGACGUGCCCAGAUGGGAUUAGCUAGUAGGUGGGGUAAUGGCUCACCUAGGCGACGAUCCCUAGCUGGUCUGAGAGGAUGACCAGCCACACUGGAACUGAGACACGGUCCAGACUCCUACGGGAGGCAGCAGUGGGGAAUAUUGCACAAUGGGCGCAAGCCUGAUGCAGCCAUGCCGCGUGUGUGAAGAAGGCCUUAGGGUUGUAAAGCACUUUCAGCGAGGAGGAAGGCGCUGUAGUUAAUAGCUGCAGCGAUUGACGUUACUCGCAGAAGAAGCACCGGCUAACUCCGUGCCAGCAGCCGCGGUAAUACGGAGGGUGCAAGCGUUAAUCGGAAUUACUGGGCGUAAAGCGCACGCAGGCAGUUUGUUAAGUCAGAUGUGAAAUCCCCGAGCUUAACUUGGGAACUGCAUUUGAAACUGGCAAGCUAGAGUCUUGUAGAGGGGGGUAGAAUUCCAGGUGUAGCGGUGAAAUGCGUAGAGAUCUGGAGGAAUACCGGCGGCGAAGGCGGCCCCCUGGACAAAGACUGACGCUCAGGUGCGAAAGCGUGGGGAGCAAAC
rnacentral:rRNA from 1 species